GAAGGAUGAAAGCUGAAGACUGAAGCAGGUCAGUGUUCUGGUUUAACCUCUCAGACUGACUUCAGAUCAGAAGAUGAGUGAUUGUGUGGAGGAAGAGGAGGACAGAGCAGAGUCUCUAGUCUCUGGCUGUCUAUCUAUGAAGAGUGAUCAGUCUAAAGAUGAUCCUCUGACCUUCAGUAAUGAACCUGGACCCUCAGAGUCAAAAGUUAAGUCCAGAUAGAGAGAAGAGUC